AGCUUUGCGCAGUGGCAGUAUCGUAGCCAAUGAGGUUUAUCCGAGGUGCGAUUAUUGCUAAUUGAUUUAAUCUAGGGAAGAACACCAGGCACUCAAGUAUUUGUCAAUUAGCUAUCUGAUUUAAAUACACACGCUGCAACAAAUCAGGAGUCACAUUUUGUAAAAGAAAAUGAAAGCAGAUUUAUUUUUUCU
rnacentral:snRNA from 1 species